rnacentral:rRNA from 1 species
AGAGUUUGAUCAUGGCUCAGAGCGAACGCUGGCGGCAGGCCUAACACAUGCAAGUCGAGCGCCGUAGCAAUACGGAGCGGCAGACGGGAGAGUAACACGUGGGAACGUGCCCUUCAGUUCGGAACAACCCAGGGAAACUUGGGCUAAUACCGGAUACGUCCGUAAGGAGAAAGAUUUAUCGCUGAAGGAUCGGCCCGCGUCUGAUUAGCUAGUUGGUGGGGUAAUGGCCCACCAAGGCGACGAUCAGUAGCUGGUCUGAGAGGAUGAUCAGCCUCACUGGGACUGAGACACGGCCCGGACUCCUACGGGAGGCAGCAGUGGGGAAUAUUGGACAAUGGGCGCAAGCCUGAUCCAGCCAUGCCGCGUGGGUGAUGAAGGCCCUAGGGUUGUAAAGCCCUUUCGGCGGGGAAGAUAAUGACGGUACCCGCAGAAGAAGCCCCGGCUAACUUCGUGCCAGCAGCCGCGGUAAUACGAAGGGGGCUAGCGUUGCUCGGAAUCACUGGGCGUAAAGCGCACGUAGGCGGCUUUUUAAGUCAGGGGUGAAAUCCUGGAGCUCAACUCCAGAACUGCCUUUGAUACUGAGAAGCUUGAGUCCGGGAGAGGUGAGUGGAACUGCGAGUGUAGAGGUGAAAUUCGUAGAUAUUCGCAAGAACACCAGUGGCGAAGGCGGCUCACUGGCCCGGUACUGACGCUGAGGUGCGAAAGCGUGGGGAGCAAACAGGAUUAGAUACCCUGAUAGUCCACGCCGUAAACGAUGGAUGCUA